GUCCUUUUCUGCCGCAGGAGAAGGCGGCGCAGUUUGGAAGCCACGGCAGGCGCCGAGAGCGCUUCUGAACCGGAGCCCGGGAGGGCAGCGAAGGGCGAGCGAAAGCGAAGGGGCGGCUCCGUGGCCCCCUCCCCCGACCUGGGAGGAUUCUCCCCGGACCCCACUGAGAUGGCCCCGCAGUCCCCCCGCACUGAGAGCGCGGCGACCUCCUAGCCCGGACUCCCAGCUCCGGGGAUUCAGUCUCCCUGGCCAGAGUCCUUCCCACCCCACUCCAGUGCUUCCAGUCUCAGCCGCUGGAGACCAAGUCUGGAUGGCAUCAACAGAACUCGCACCGGGAGAGGGAGGUGCCAAGACGCUUGCGCCUUCCUGGAUGUUUGCUUUACUGCCCAGACCCACUCCCAGAGGGAUAUCAGCUGAGGAGAUUGCCACUCUCAAGUGCACAUUGCGCAUUGCACAACUCCAGGGGGCACCAUUUCUCCGGUAGUCAUCGUAGACUUGUAUAGCUGUUGUGACUGCUUUCCAGCAGAUGGCACUCAAGCGUUUUGAGAAAGGGGUGCCUUUUUCUAAUGCACCCAGCAGAGCUAUCUGGGCUAGUGUCAGGGGUGGCUAGGCCCUCUGUGAGAUCCUGUUGGCCUGUAUCCCCUACCCUUUGCCUCAGUCUUGCCGGGAUUAGGAGGGGUUCUAGAGUAGCAUGUGGAGAAGGGACUCCUCUCCUAGGUGGUCUCUCAGGUCCCCCCGGGGUUUACCCAUCCUCCCCCACAAAACUUCCUGCUAUCCUGGAGCUGAUUUCAGGGUAACGGCGCCUGUCCAGGCAUACCUGGUGACCUACUGUGGAUUUGUUUGGCUUGGCCUAGAGAGCUGCAGGGCAGCCAAGCUGAAGUGCAGAUCAGAGACCCUCUUCCUGCUUCCUCUCCCAGGGCAGGGGUUUUUUUCAAUCUCCCAGGGAUUGGGCCCUCUCCUACUUUCUGCAAGUACAGACUGUCCAGGUGAGAGGAGGAAGAGGAGCUAGAAGCUGGACCUGCAGGGGCAGAACCAAAAGUUGCAAACUGACGGCACCUACUGGCAACCAUAAAGACUGCAGGAGGGCUGGGGAGUUAUGGCCGAGGACAAGAUUCUGGGAUUCUCUCCGUGCCAUCUCAUGGGCUACUGGGGUCUCUUCUGCCCCAUCUGCCUUGGAGAAGAAGGGUAAAGAGAACCAGGAUCCUCAAGUCCCUGGGGGAAGCCUGGCCAGUCCCUGAUUCAGAAAACUGCCCCCAGGCCCCUCCCCAUCCUUCACCAUCAAUGGACCCAGUUCUGCCACAAAAUUAUUGUGUGAACUUGGACACCACCCCUUGGAGCUCGAAUGUCCCUAACUGCAAUGGAGGUAGGUCAUCUCCACCUAGCCUAGCUUUUGAAGCUCUUGUGAGAAUAAAAUGGGACCAGGAAGAAUAGUUCUGAUCCCAAUGCCAGACUUGUCUUCUAGAGACCGCAGACCUGGGAGGCAUAAAGGUACUGGGACAUGGAGGAAGGAGGGCAGAACUGGCGAUGAAGCAUGAAUGCAGGAGAAUAUCCUGGUCAGAGGAGCUUCCCAAACUUGGUAACCAACAUCCCAACACCACUGGGGAAAAGUGAGGAAGACACACCCCCCCCAGGACAAGUGAGUAGACUGCAAGAAAGGAAGGGGGAAAGGAGUAACUAUGGCCUCCAUUCCCUCAUCUGCAAAAUA